rnacentral:rRNA from 1 species
GGGUGAGUAACACGUGGGUAACCUGCCUGUAAGACUGGGAUAACUCCGGGAAACCGGAGCUAAUACCGGAUAGUUCCUUGAACCGCAUGGUUCAAGGAUGAAAGACGGUUUCGGCUGUCACUUACAGAUGGACCCGCGGCGCAUUAGCUAGUUGGUGGGGUAAUGGCUCACCAAGGCGACGAUGCGUAGCCGACCUGAGAGGGUGAUCGGCCACACUGGGACUGAGACACGGCCCAGACUCCUACGGGAGGCAGCAGUAGGGAAUCUUCCGCAAUGGACGAAAGUCUGACGGAGCAACGCCGCGUGAGUGAUGAAGGUUUUCGGAUCGUAAAGCUCUGUUGUUAGGGAAGAACAAGUGCGAGAGUAACUGCUCGCACCUUGACGGUACCUAACCAGAAAGCCACGGCUAACUACGUGCCAGCAGCCGCGGUAAUACGUAGGUGGCAAGCGUUGUCCGGAAUUAUUGGGCGUAAAGGGCUCGCAGGCGGUUUCUUAAGUCUGAUGUGAAAGCCCCCGGCUCAACCGGGGAGGGUCAUUGGAAACUGGGAAACUUGAGUGCAGAAGAGGAGAGUGGAAUUCCACGUGUAGCGGUGAAAUGCGUAGAGAUGUGGAGGAACACCAGUGGCGAAGGCGACUCUCUGGUCUGUAACUGACGCUGAGGAGCGAAAGCGUGGGGAGCGAACAGGAUUAGAUACCCUGGUAGUCCACGCCGUAAACGAUGAGUG